rnacentral:misc_RNA from 1 species
GAUGAAGAACGCAGCGAAAUGCGAUAAGUAAUGUGAAUUGCAGAAUUCAGUGAAUCAUCGAAUCUUUGAACGCACAUUGCGCCCGCCAGUAUUCUGGCGGGCAUGCCUGUUCGAGCGUCAUUUCAACCAUCAAGCCCCCGGCUUGUGUUGGGGACCUGCGGCUGCCGCAGGCCCUGAAAACCAGUGGCGGGCUCGCUAGUCACUCCGAGCGUAGUAAUACAUCUCGCUCAGGGCGUGCUGCGGGUUCCGGCCGUUAAAAAGCCUUAUUUACCCAAGGUUGACCUCGGAUCAGGUAGGAAGACCCGCUGAACUUAAGCAUAUCAAUAAGCGGAUGA